GGCUUGUCCAGAGGCAACGUGUUAUCUCAACUAAUUGUUCACAGUCACAGAUGGAACUUCUGUUCUACUCUUUUCCUCCUCACUAUUUCACUUGACUCGUCUUAA
ensembl:misc_RNA Y_RNA Y RNA